UGAAAAAAACACGCACUUAUAAAUAAGUUACCGAACAGCGUCAAUCACAAGGUCAGAGAAACUGGGCUUAAAUUGACGUGAUAAACUGCUCGAUUAUUGAUAGUACAGUAUAUUUUAUUGUUAAGUGCAAACUGCAUCAAGCAACAAAUUAGAAAAAAUUGGAGUAUCAAAAUUCAGAACGCAGACGAAUAACGUAUGGGGUUAUAAGAAUAAGUACAAUGUGAUGAAUAAUAUAAGGUAGCUAGAUUGUUUUAAAAUAUCAAUUGAAAAGUGACAGAUGCUUAGAAAUGUUGAAAGUUAGGUUAUAGUGCAUUCAACAGGUAGAAUAAAUUCGUACGUGUAGAAUCUUAUCAGAAAUCACGCGUUUUCGUCCGAAGUCAAGAUACGAGAAAGUUUGCCCCUGGGGCAACGGAGUCAUCAAGGGCGACGGAUCUUACGACUUUCUAUCCUGGGGAUUCCGCUAAUGAAACCGAUUAGCUAAAUCCAAUGACGAAACUACAGCACUAUUUCUACGAAUGCGCGACAUACACAAGCCCUGAGUCCAUCAAUCGGUUUCCUCAGGAUAAGGUGUCGCAGGACGGAUUUCCUGGAAUUUUACACCGUAAAUGGAUCCGCGGUGCGUCACGUGACAGCGGGCAUGCGCACGUUGACGACCAGACAACCUCCCUACGUUUUUUUCCUCAAUUUUUCUCUCGUCGACGCCGAUUCUUGCCGCUGGCGUAUAUCGAUAGCAGCAGAUUAGCAUGCAGCCUGUAACUGCUACUGGAUUAUGGGUUGGGCGAAUAUUAUGGAAUCUAUUGAGAUUGCGUGAUAAUGUACCGGUGAAUACAUGCUCACUCGAUCACAUAAAAGCGUACGGCCUCAAUGAAAAAAUGCUUCAGAUCUGUUCGGUCAAAGUUACAGAUGCUUCGAUAAAAUUGUUAGCCACGUUCCCAAUAACUUGAAUUAGAUGUACUUCUCACCUUUGAAUUGAUAAGGUACCCAGCGAAUCCUAUAAGUCAAUAGUUAUGUUAGUUCUCGCUGAAUUUUUCUUUCUUGUUGGAAAAUAUACUUACGGAUCUUUGCGGUUAAGCGAAAAUAAGAAAUCUGGUAACUAAUGGCGAGUUCUGUAUUUCGUAGCUUAUGUUUAGAUGCAAGGUCGAUCCGGGAAUACUUUUAAGUUGUUUAUUUUGAUAUUUCGGUAUCUGCGUCGUCGGAAAGAUGGAACGGAAAAAAUCUAUAGGCAAAUAAUAUUUCGAAUUAAUAAACGUAUCCUGCAAGCUUUGACUAUAUUUUUCGAUAUCUAAUUUUGAAUAUCAUACUCCUUUUAAUAGAAAUACAUGCUUCAAGCAAAAAUUUGCCCUGGCCAGUGUUAUUUCUAUCCACUUUGAAAAUCCUCGAAGUUAGUAGAAAAGUAGUUUAUUUGACAAAGCUUGUAGAAAUACGUGUCAGCAUGUGUAUAACAAUUAUACAUAUAAUAUAGUGAUAUUUACAUAUAUUUAGCUAUGGUUUCACUAUAUUUUCUAGAGCAAUGUAAAAAUGUAGAAAAACUCAGCAAUGUACCAAUUUGCAAAUACUAUGUAGGUAUAAAUCUGUAUAUAAAUAAAUGGCAAUAAAUAUUA